AAAAAAGAUAUUAAGGGCCAUAGGUGGAUGCCUUGGCUGGUAGAGGCGAUGAAAGACGUAAUAGGCUGCGAUAAGCCUCGGGGAGCUGCCAAUGAGCUUUGAUCCGGGGAUUUCUGAAUGGGGCAACCCAGCAUGGUGCGAAUCAUGUUACCCUUCGGGGGGCGAACCUAGGGAAGUGAAACAUCUCAGUACCUAGAGGAAGAGAAAUCAAACGAGAUUCCCAGAGUAGCGGCGAGCGAAAUGGGAUUAGGGCGGUUAGCGAUAGCAUAUUUAUUAGCAGAAGAGUUUGGAAAGACUCGGCAUAGAGGGUGAUACUCCCGUAAGCGAAAAUAUUUAUGUGGUACUAGGUUAACGAACGAGUAGGUCGGGACACGUGUUAUCUUGACUGAAUAUGGGGGGACCACCCUCCAACCCUAAAUACUACUACCAGACCGAUAGCGAACUAGUACCGUGAGGGAAAGGUGAAAAGGACCGCGGUGAGCGGAGUGAAAUAGAACCUGAAACCUAUGGCUUACAAUCAUUCGGAGCACUAUUUUAAUGUGUGACGGACUGCCUUUUGCAUAAUGAGCCUGCGAGUUGUGGUAUCUGGCAAGGUUAAUCGAACGAGAAGCCGUAGCGAAAGCGAGUCUUAAUAGGGCGAAUUAGUCAGAUGCUGCAGACCCGAAACUAAGUGAUCUAUCCAUGUGCAGGUUGAAGCUGGUGUAAGAGCCAGUGGAGGACCGAACCCGUAUAGGUUGAAAACUGUUGGGAUGACAUGUGGAUAGGGGUGAAAGGCCAAUCAAACUUAGUGAUAGCUGGUUCUCUCCGAAAUAUAUUUAGGUAUAGCCUCGAGCAUUAGCAUGAAGGGGUAGAGCACUGACAGGGCUAGGGCUGCUUACCGCGGUACCAAACCCUAUCAAACUCCGAAUACUUCAUGUGUAACCUCGGGAGUCAGGCGUAGGGUGAUAAAAUCCUAUGUCGAGAGGGGAACAACCCAGACUAACAGCUAAGGUCCCAAAGUCUUGUCUAAGUGGAAAAGGAUGUGGAGUUGCUGUGACAACCAGGAGGUUGGCUUAGAAGCAGCCAUCCUUUAAAGAAAGCGUAACAGCUCACUGGUCUAGCGAUUCUGCGCCGAAAAUAUAACGGGGCUAAGACAAGCACCGAAGCUUUAGAUUUGGUAUUUAUACCAAGUGGUAGGAGAGCGUUCCAUUCAGCGCUGAAGGUAUACCGGCAAGGAGUACUGGAGCGGAUGGAAGUGAGCAUGCAGGCAUGAGUAGCGAGAAAAGAAGUGAGAAUCUUCUUCGCCGUAAACCCAAGGUUUCCUACGCGAUGCUCGUCAUCGUAGGGUUAGUCGGGACCUAAGUCGAGUCCGAAAGGGGUAGACGAUGGCAAAUCGGUUAAUAUUCCGAUACCGACAUUAUAUCGUUUGAGUGAUGGGGGGACGCAUAGAGUUAGACGAGGUCACUGAUGGAAUAGUGGCUCGAAGGACGUAGGUCGUGAAGUAGGCAAAUCCGCUUCACAUGAGACCGAGAUCUUACAGGCAGACCAAUCUCUUCGGAGAGCGGUUUGAAUCGUCGAUACUGUCGUGCCGAGAAAAGCCUCUAAACGAGAUAUAAUGUUGCCCGUACCGUAAACCAACACAGGUGGGUGAGAUGAGUAUUCUAAGGCGCGUGGAUGAACCAUUGUUAAGGAACUCUGCAAACUAGCACCGUAUCUUCGGUAUAAGGUGUGCCCUAUUUGUUAUGAGAUUUACUCUCAAAAGCAUUGAUGGGUGGCAGCAAAGUGUCCCUCCCGACUGUUUACCAAAAACACAGCACUCUGCUAACUCGUAAGAGGAUGUAUAGGGUGUGACGCCUGCCCGGUGCUCGAAGGUUAAAAGGAUCCGUUAGCUUUGCGAAGCGGUGAAUUGAAGCCCGAGUAAACGGCGGCCGUAACUAUAACGGUCCUAAGGUAGCGAAAUUCCUUGUCGGUUAAAUACCGACCUGCAUGAAUGGCGUAACGAGAUGGGAGCUGUCUCAACAAUGGAUCCAGUGAAAUUGUAGUGGAGGUGAAAAUUCCUCCUACCCGCGGAAAGACGGAAAGACCCCGUGCACCUUUACUAUAGCUUGACACUGCUAUUGGGAUAUUCAUGUGCAGGAUAGGUGGGAGCCUUUGAUUCAUAGACGCCAGUUUAUGAUGAGGCAUCCUUGAGAUACCACCCUUGAAUAUUCUGAUAGCUAACUCCGUACAAUUAUCUUGUGCGAGGACAAUGUCUGGUGGGUAGUUUGACUGGGGCGGUCGCCUCCUAAAAAGUAACGGAGGCUUACAAAGUUCGGCUCAGGUGGGUUGGAAAUCCACCGUAGAGUAUAAUGGCAUAAGCCGGACUGACUGUGAGACAUACAAGUCGAGCAGAGUCGAAAGACGGUCAUAGUGAUCCGGUGGUUCUGUGUGGAAGGGCCAUCGCUCAAAGGAUAAAAGGUACGCCGGGGAUAACAGGCUGAUCUCCCCCAAGAGCUCACAUCGACGGGGAGGUUUGGCACCUCGAUGUCGGCUCAUCGCAUCCUGGGGCUGGAGCAGGUCCCAAGGGUAUGGCUGUUCGCCAUUUAAAGCGGUACGCGAGCUGGGUUCAGAACGUCGUGAGACAGUUCGGUCCCUAUCUUCCGUGGGCGUAGGAUUGUUGAGGAGAGUUGACCCUAGUACGAGAGGACCGGGUUGAACGUGCCACUGGUGCACCAGUUGUUCUGCCAAGAGCAUCGCUGGGUAGCUACGCACGGAUGAGAUAACCGCUGAAAGCAUCUAAGCGGGAAGCCAACUCCAAGAUGAACAAUCCCUGAAGUACGCUUGAAGACUACAAGCUUGAUAGGCUGGGUGUGUACGCAUCGCAAGAUGUUUAGCUGACCAGUACUAAUAGUACGUUCGUCUUUUUUUAAAAA
rnacentral:rRNA from 1 species